CAAGCAGCCGACUUCCGUCCGUUUUGCCCUACAAGAGCGCCAAUCGAGUGAACUGCGCAUGCGCAGCCCCGUGUCAUUAGCUUAGCCCAGUGUAGCUUAGCGUAGCCUUACAGAAGGAGCACAGUGCGGGAGUACAGUAAAGGUGCUGCUGGUUAGCUACAUGCUAUUUGAAGGAGAUUCGUGUUUGUUUUAGCUGGACACACGUCGUUAAGAAUGAGGAAGGACGUGAGGAUAUUACUAGUCGGGGAACCUAAAGUGGGGAAGACGUCGCUGAUCAUGUCGCUGGUCAGUGAAGAAUUCCCUGACGAGGUCCCGCUGCGUGCGGAGGAGAUCACCAUUCCUGCGGACGUCACCCCCGAGAGAGUGCCCACACACAUCGUGGAUUACUCGGAAGCAGAGCAGUCUGAUGAACAGCUGUACCAAGAGAUCUCUAAGGCGAACGUCAUUUGCAUAGUGUACUCGGUAAACAACAAAAAAUCUAUUGAGAAGGUGACGAGCCACUGGAUUCCCCUCAUCAACGACAGAACAGACAAGGACAGCAGAGUACCCCUGAUUCUUGUCGGGAAUAAGUCAGACCUGGUGGACCACAGCAGCAUGGAGACCAUUCUGCCCAUCAUGAACCAGUACUCAGAAAUUGAGACCUGUGUUGAGUGUUCUGCAAAAAACCUGAAGAAUAUCUCGGAGCUGUUCUACUAUGCCCAGAAGGCCGUGUUGCACCCUACAGGCCCCCUGUACUGCCCAGAGGAAAAGGAGAUGAAGCCUUCUUGCAUCAAAGCGCUUACUCGCAUCUUCAAAAUAUCUGACCUGGACAACGACGGCAUUCUCAAUGACCACGAGCUCAAUUUCUUCCAAAGAACCUGUUUUAACAUGCCGCUUGCUCCUCAAGCUCUGGAGGACGUGAAAAACGUUGUGCGGCGAAACAUGACCGAUGGCGUGAGGGACAAAGGCCUCACUCUUAAAGGUUUCUUGUUUCUACACACUCUCUUUAUCCAGAGAGGUAGGCAUGAAACCACGUGGACUGUGCUCCGAAGGUUCGGCUAUGACGAUGACCUGGAACUCACUCAGGAAUACCUGUUUCCGCUGUUAAAAAUACCUCCACACUGCACCACAGAGCUGAACCACAACGCGUACCUCUUCCUGCAGAGUGUCUUUGACAAGCACGACAAGGAUCGAGACUGCGCGUUGUCUCCUGAGGAGCUGAGAGAUCUGUUUAAAGUCUUCCCCUACAUGCCCUGGGGCCCUGACGUCAACAAUACAGUGUACACCAACGACCAGGGCUGGAUCACCUACCAGGGCUACCUGUCUCAGUGGACGCUAACAACGUACUUGGAUGUACAGCGCUGCUUGGAAUAUCUGGGUUACCUUGGUUACUCUAUCAUUCAUGAGCAGGACUCACAGGCUGCUGCCAUCACAAUCACCAGGAACAAGCACAUUGACCUGCAGAAGAAGCAGACCCAGCGCAGUGUGUUUCGGUGUAAUGUCCUGGGAGCACGCGGGAGUGGCAAGAGUGGCCUCCUGCAGGCCUUUCUGGGCAGGAACUUAGCUAGACAAAAGCAGAUAAGAGAAGACCACAAAUCCUACUACGCCAUCAGCACCGCAUAUGUCUAUGGACAGGAGAAGUAUUUGCUUCUGCAUGAGAUUCUCCCAGACAUUGAUUUCGUCUCGGAAGCAGAUCUGGCCUGUGAUGUUGUCUGCCUUGUGUAUGACAUCAGUAAUCCUCGCUCUUUUGAAUACUGCGCAAAGGCCUAUAAGAAAUACUUCAUGGACAGCAAGACUCCAUGUAUGAUUAUCGCCGCCAAGUCAGACCUGCACGAGGUUCGCCAGCACUACAGCACGACUCCUCUGGACUUCUGCAGGAGGCACAAGCUGCACCCGCCACAGCAGUUCACCUGUAACACAGCUGAGGCGCCCAGCAGAGACAUCUACACCAAACUCACCACCAUGGCCAUGUAUCCCCACGCCAAGCUCCGCUGCAUGUGUGCCUGCAACAGGUGCACUUUUUGCAUCAGUCAGAACCUGCUGAACAGUGAGCUCCUGCGUUCGGUCAGGGCCAAACUCUACAGUGUCAUUGUGAACAGGUGUUCAUUCAAAUGUGUUUGGCUGGGCCUAUUCCUUCUCGUGUUGCAUCACUUCACCUCAUGCUAACCCUGCCAGCAUGCCUGCUUUUAUCUGUUUCACUACCUGGACUGUAAUAGGGUUGAAUAGAUCAGGUGGAUUGGCCUUAACCUGUUACAGACACGAACUUUGUUUCACACUGUGAAGAGUACUGGGUGUAUUUUGGCAUGUAUGCGGUGGAUUAAUAGUUAAUUCCUCUCACUCUUAACACUUGUGACUUUGAUUUGUUCACAUAACUAUGUUUGUGCUUGUGAUGUAAUUUCUUCUGGCUGCUGAUUUGGUGUUUGUGUGUGUUUGGUGGCUGAUUUAUAUAAAACCCUACUGUAGAUGGCGGCAUUUCUCAGUAGUUUAUUGCCUUCCUGUUAAAGGACUGAACAUGAUUAAUGAUAUUUGGGCAUUACUUAAAGGGAGAGUUCACCUAAAAAUGAAAAUACUGUCAUCAGUUACUCCUCCUCAUGUCGUUCCAAACCCAUAAGACGUUCGUCCCUCCGUUUACAGUCCAAGUAACCAAAACUUUCAAGCUCCAAAAAGUUCAUAAAGGCAUCAUAAAAAGGAAUCCCAAUUUUAUGAAGCGAUAUGAAUACUUUGUGUGUGCAAAAAAACUAUAAUCAAGACUUUAUUCUCCAAAUAUUCAUUUCAGCAUAAAUCUCUGGCGUGCGUUCACGAGAGAGAGAGAGCCACGACACGCAUGAGUGUUGUGUUGACACGCGAUGCAGCGGGACCUGGAAGUGCUGAUUUUGACAUGGAGAUGGAGGACUUUUUUUGAGGGGGGGUCCCUCUCGUGUCAUCACAACACGCAUGCGUCGUGGUUACUUGGACUGCAAACGGAGGGACAGAAAUCUCCCAGGUUUCAUUAAAAUGUCUUCAUUUGUGUUCCGAAGAUGAACGAAAUUCUUAUGGGUUUGGAACAACAUGAGGAGUAACCGAUGACAGAAUUUUCAUUUUUGGGUGAACUCUCCCUUUAAGGCGUGGUGUACUCUGGUGUCUGUGCUUGGGUACAUGAAUGGCUAGAUGACACACUCGCCACUCUGACCAGACAUUAUCCAAACCCGUGAUCAGUCGGAGGUUCUCACUGCACAGCGAGCUUUGUGUUUCGAUUUGUCGAUCUGUUCAUUAACUCGGCCUUUUCCUCUCUGCUGUGUUUCUCUUGUGUGGAGCAUGUAGUGGUGGCUGUGUUGUGAAUGGUAGUUGAAUUGCCGUCCUGUAUGCAUGUGCAGAAGGUUGGGGCCCUUUUUUUUAACGAAAGGGACACUUGUCAUUUGGCUGAUGAGGAUCCAGCCUCAUCCAUCAGAUGCACGCAGUCAGCUGUGUAAAGGACUCAAUCUACAUGGAUGCGUCAGUCCGACCCAUUUGUGUCCAGACACAUGACCCAGGCUGAUCUGAAGAACUCUACAUUCUGGCUACGAGCCAGCGUCGGAGCCACAGUAUUCGCAGUGUUGGGCUUCGCCAUGUAUAAAGCGCUCCUCAAGCACCGGUGAUCAGUUACAGGCAGCACGCGACUGCAAUCCUCUAUCCAGCAAAAAACUUCUUCCCUCCAACCCAGUCAUUCCCCUUUAAGAGAAAGCUAGUAGUAUCAUGAUAGAUAGCUAUAUUUUAUAUAUUUGAACCUACAUGCAUCCAUGCACCCAUUUUUUUUCCCCCCCUCCUCUCUUCUGGAGUUUUGAUUUCAACCCGUUCUCUUAUAUCAAACGUCUUGUGUGUCAGCCGUGCUUGAAUACUCCAGACGGCUCUUGCCGUAGACGGACUGGUUUUAAAUGACGUUAUUUUUCCUCAGAUCAGUAUUAGAUGGUGUGAGACUGCUAUCACAGUCUACGCAGAGGCACGAGAGGAUGGAACGCUUCGUUUAUAAAAUGUAAACAUCGCUGAGGAAUACCAACAGCUUCAGUGAAAACUGGGGGGGGGGAGUACAGAACUCGUAUGCACGCACAUAACAGGAGAUGCACAGAAACGAAGCCAUUUCUCACUUGUAUAGGUCAUUUCGCUUUGAGCACGUUUCAACUGUAAUAAUUUAUUAAUGUCAUACUUGCCAGUCAGAAUAUUCUGUUUGACCUUGCAUGCAGCAGUCACUAUACAAGGGAUUUUUUAUUUUUUUUAUUUUUUAUUUUAAUUAUCUGGUUUGUUUUUAGCUUUAUGAUUUGUUUACUGGUUUGCCCUUGACCCCCACAGACACACUAAUGCAGCGAAUAAGCGAUAAGCUUCACCGCAAUGUUGACAAGAUCACAAGAAAGGGCCCAAGUGUAGAUUCUGUGGUCAGGUCAAUGGGACACGGUCUCUAUGAGAACUCUGUUGAUAGGUUCCACGUUAAAUAUUUACUAUUAUCUAUACGAAUAAAUACUAUUACUACUACUACCACUGCAUCUAUUUUGUUUGAUUAACGGCACAUUGUAUUAUUCAUUGCAAAACUCCCAGUUCAAAACCAUGACGCUGCUGUACUCAUUUCUGACCUUUCAGACAUUUACAAUAAACGGUGUGAUUAUA